GUUCGUUCGUUUGUUUUGGUGUAUGAGCAUGUAUUUACCUCGAGGCACAAGGUUUGAGAUAACCAAAAAGAAGUCUCAAUCCAAAAUAGAGAAAGAAAUGGAAAAUAAUUGAAUCCAAAGUGUAGAAGCAGAGAAAAGAUGUGGACUGCUCAAGACAUGAUUGAAGUCACAAGCUUUUCCUGUCCCGUCUUGAUCCGAAAAAGCUAAAGAAGAAUGAACUAGCACCUACAGCUAGCAAGCAUCAAGGUUCAGAUCAGAGUCUGCAUGAAGAACAACCAAAACUCAAGAUCGAGUUUCAGAAGACUUAGAGAUAGGAACCUUGUAACUCAGUGUUGGUAGGCUUGUUUAGUUUCUUUUCAUUUUUGAUUUUGGUAUAAUAAGGAGCUCAGCAAGCAGUAACAAUAGCAACAACAAUAAAAUCACAGCUCCUAGUAGUCCUAGCUACAAAAAUUACCAGAACUACACUGACCUGAUUCCUUUAUAGCCAAGGAUAUGUAGGCAACCUCCGAAGCAAGGUUCGGUCAAACUUUCAAAAAAAAACCCGCUUCCCAUGGAGUAUCCAAACGGGCAAAAAUUACUCGUAAUUGCUCACUUUAUCUUUGCCCGAAAACUCUUCAUGUUUUCGAGCAAAGAGGGGCAGCUGUGAGCACCUAAGUUUUGCCCCACAUAAGAGAUUACUCCUAAAAAUAAUCCNUCCAAAAAAUAAUUUUAAUUGUUUUUAUGAAUUUUAGAAAUUUUUCUUUAUUUAUUUUGCAUUUAUUCGCAUUGUUUAUACAUGUUGGGAAUAUCGUAAAUCAUAAAAAUGUUCAAAUCUUAAUUUCAUAGCAUUUUAGAUUUUAAACUGCAUUUUAGGAUUUAAUUACAUUAUUAAAUGCAUUAUAUAAAUAUCUAAAAACCAAAAAAUGUAUUUUUAGAUUAGUUAAUUAAUUAGGUCAUUAGUCAAUUAUUGAGUAAAAUAUAUAUAAUAGUUUAGCCAUACAAAUUAAUUUUAAUUAAAAUUUGAGUCCAAAGUGACUAAUUUUACAAUUAUAUCAAGCCCAUCCCUUUAGAAGCCCAAUUUUCAUGACCCGCCUGGCCCAACCGGAUCCCCCCUCUCUUUAAAACACCCAUUUUCCCAAACCUAAAGGAGAGGGGAUAACAGGCAGAUCCCCCUUUGAAAAACCUAGCGCCGCCUUCACCUUCGUCUCUUUUCUCACCUCACUCUCAACACGCCUAAAUACAGCUGUUGAAACUUCAGAAUAUUUAUAACUAAACUUCAGAAUUUCUUAGAAAGAAACAGUCAAAUUUCGGAGUUAAAAUCAUAUAGCCGAUUCAACAUUUCAGCCUCUUUUCUUCAUAAUCUCUGGGGUUUUCAAGGUUAUUAGAAGCUGUAGAUGAGUUGCUUGCUUACCGAUUUGGACUGCACUGGUUGCUGAGUUUUCAACUUUCUUUAUUUCGCCUUUAUUCGGCCCUUUAAAUUGGUUCUUACAUAACCAGGAGUCCGGCCAGAAAAUCAAGGUGAACUUGGUAGGAGGCAAGAUCAAGGGCCCCCGAGAUGAGAAUGGUCGUCGCUUAUUUUCUGUGAAAGCUGCCAAGGGAAGGUUCAAAGUUCAGCGAGAGUAAUCGCAUCAUAUAUGUUGUGAUAGAAAUUUCAAUAAACAGUAGUUUCCUAACUUUAUAUCUGCUUUGUUAAGUUGUUGGUGUUUAAUAGUAGUAGUAAUAUGUAGGUUGAUACAUAUGCUUGUAGAACUGUUUCACAUAGAUCAGUUUUUUGCCACAUGCAUUAAUCAAUUUGUUUACCAAUUGAUCGUCUUA